rnacentral:rRNA from 1 species
GAUGAACGCUGGCGGCGUGCUUAACACAUGCAAGUCGAACGAGAAAUGGAGACGGACACCUUCGGGCGGAAGGCUUCAUUUCGAGUGGCGGACGGGUGAGUAACGCGUGGGUAACCUGCCUCAUACAGGGGGAUAACAGUUGGACACGACUGUUAAUACCGCAUAAGACCACAGCACCGCAUGGUGCGGGGGUAAAAACUCCGGUGGUAUGAGAUGGACCCGCGUUCGAUUAGCCAGUUGGCGGGGUAACGGCCCACCAAAGCGACGAUCGAUAGCCGAUCUGAGAGGAUGACCGGCCACAUUGGGACUGAGACACGGCCCAAACUCCUACGGGAGGCAGCAGUGGGGAAUAUUGCACAAUGGGGGAAACCCUGAUGCAGCGACGCCGCGUGAGUGAAGAAGUACUUCGGUAUGUAAAGCUCUAUCAGCAGGGAAGAAAAUGACGGUACCUGAGUAAGAAGCCCCGGCUAACUACGUG